rnacentral:lncRNA from 1 species
GGUGAAGAUAAAGCGAAAGAAGAGAUGCCGGAGGAUGCUAAUCCUUGGAGUGGAGGCGGUGAGAUGUUAAGAACUUAUUAGGCGAGUUAUUGUAAAUUUUCCCUAUGAAGGUAAGGGUGAGAUGUUAAGAACUUAUUAGGCGAGUUAUUGUAAAUUUUCCCUAUGAAGGUAGUUAACUGACUUGUGAUUGACACUGCAGGCGCCUAAGAAGAAAGUUACAAAGAACAAAUGUGGUAGGUGCAGGGAGGAAGGACACAACAGGACUAACUGCAGUGUGCCUAUCUAAGGUUGUCGUAGGAGGGAUUCAUUUGGAAAUGUAAUGUUGUUCGAUCAAGGCAAUUUUUUUUUGGAACUUCUUAUUAAUUGCUUGAAACCUUGUGUUUGUGGGUUGUCUGAUUGGAGGUGCUUCCUUUUAUUUGGGAAGUAGUUUUGUUGAGAGUUUUUGUUGAACUGAAUCAUGGAAACGUUAUUUUGUUAAAGGGUGGUGUACCCGGAAAAAUGUUUAUUGGUAAGGAAAAUUGAACUAAUAGAAAUUAGAAAUGUUUAGAAAUUAAUCUGUGGAUGUGGUCAGCAUUUGUAAAAACAUUUUGGUCCAUUGAACCACACGGGAGGGCCGUUAUUAAUAGCUUGUAACGUAAUGUUGGUUGUUUGAAUGUGUGUCGGUUUGGAGCAGCUUCCUUAUUAAGGGUG